rnacentral:rRNA from 1 species
AUUGAACGCUGGCGGCAGGCCUAACACAUGCAAGUCGAGCGGAUGAAAGGGCUUGCUCCUGGAUUCAGCGGCGGACGGGUGAGUAAUGCGCAGGAAUCUACCUAGUAGUGGGGAUAACGUUUCGAAGGAACGCUAAUACCGCAUACGUUCUGAGGAAGAAGCAGGGAGUCGUAAGACCUUGCGCUAUUAGAUGAGCUUGCGUCCGAUUAGCUAGUUGGUGGGGUAAAGGCCUACCAAGGCGACGAUCGGUAACUGGUCUGAGAGGAUGAUCAGUCACACUGGAACUGAGACACGGUCCAGACUCCUACGGGAGGCAGCAGUUGGGGAAUAUUGGACCAAUGGGGGCAACCCUGAUCCAGCCAUGCCGCGUGUGUGAAGAAGGCCUCGGUUG